rnacentral:rRNA from 1 species
UACGUAGGGUGCAAGCGUUGUCCGGAAUUAUUGGGCGUAAAGAGCUUGUAGGCGGUUUGUCGCGUCUGCUGUGAAAUUUCGGGGCUCAACCCCGAACUUGCAGUGGGUACGGGCAGACUAGAGUGUGGUAGGGGAGUGUGGAAUUCCUGGUGGAGCGGUGAAAUGCGCAGAUAUCAGGAGGAACACCGAUGGCGAAGGCGGCAUCCUGGACCAACACUGACACUGAGGAGCGAAAGCCAGGGGAGCAAACGGG